rnacentral:lncRNA from 1 species
UAUUGUGCCUUAAGUUUUAUAUUUCUUAGUCUCGUUUUUACAUUUGAUUUCUACUCCUUUCGCUACCUUUUAUAAGCGUAAGAGCAAAAUUUUCAGGUUUCCCAAGGAAAAGAGAAGCUUAUUUGGAAAUACUAGUCAUGUAAGUUUCCUCCGUAUCCCUUAUUCUCUUCUAUUUCGCAUUGUUCUUUAUUCUUCUCUUUUAUGUUUGAGUGUUAUUUGUUGACCGCAUGUAUGUAGUAGAGAAUUAAUUUUCAAUCCUUUGAUUUCUUUGUUUGUUUUUAAAAGCUUGAUGUUUUGUUUUCUAUUGCUCAUAUCUUUAGUUUCGUAUUCGAAUAAUUUUAUUUACUCUCAAGGACAUUGUGGUUUUAACAUUUGAUCUCUUCUCCUUUCUCUACCUUGCUUUAAGCAUAAGGGUAGAAUUUUCAAGCUUCCCGUGGUCAAGAGAAGUUUAUUGGGAAUUAGUUAUUCGAUAAGUUUCCUCCAUAUUCCCUAUUCUCUCAAAUUUUGCACUGUUCUUCAUAUUAAUCUUUUAUGUUUUCAUGUUAUAUGCCUACUGUAUGUGUGUAUUAGAAAAUUAAUUUUCAAUCCGUUAAUUUCUUUGCUUGUUUUUUUAUCUUGAUGUUGCGUUGUCUAUUCCUCAUUUUUAUAGUUUCGUAUAUGCAUAAUUUGAUUUCCUUUCAACGAUAUUGUGCCUUAAGUUUUAUAUUUCUUAGUCUCGUUUUUACAUUUGAUUUUCACUCCUUUCGCUACCUUCUAUAAGCGUAAAGGUAGAAUUUUCAGGUUUCCCGAGGAAAAAAGAAGCUUAUUUGGAAAUACUUGUCAGGUAAGUUUCCUCCAUAUCCCCUAUUCUUUUCCAUUUCGCAUUGUUCUUUAUUCUUCUCUUUUAUGUUUGAUUGUUAUUUGUUGACCGCAUGUAUGUAGUAGAGAAUUAAUUUUCAAUCCUUUGAUUUCUUUGUUUGUUUUUAAAAGCUUGAUGUUGUGUUUUCUAUUGCUCAUAUCUUUAGUUUCGUAUUCGAAUAAUUUUUCUACUCUCAAGGACAUUGUGGUUUUAACAUUUGAUCUCUACUCCUUUCUCUACCUUGCUUUAAGCAUAAGGGUAGAAUUUUUCAGGUUUCCAAUGGUAAAGAGAAGUUUAUUGGGAAUUAGUUCUUGGAUAAGUUUCCUCCGUAUUCCCUAUUCUCUCAAAUUUUGCACUGUNNNNNNNNNNNNNNNNNNNNNNNNNNNNNNNNNNNNNNNNNNNNNNNNNNNNNNNNNNNNNNNNNNNNNNNNNNNNNNNNNNNNNNNNNNNNNNNNNNNNGUAUUUCCACACUAUACUUCUCAUUUCCUCUGGAAUCUGUAUAUUUCUACUUUCGCGCUUACCAGACUAAGUACGUGUGUCAUCGAAAAUUAAUUCUGAAUCCGUUAAUUUCUUUGUUUGUUUUUUAUCUCGAUCUUACGUUGUCUAUUCCUCAUUUCUUUAGUUUAUACCUGCAUAAUUUGAUUUUCUUUCAAUGAUAUUGCGCCUUGAGAGUUAAUUUUCUUAUUCUCAAUUUUACAUUUGAUCUCUACUCCUUUCGCUACAUUCUAUAAGCGUAAGGGUAGAAUUUUCAAGUUUCCCGAGGAAAAGAGAAGUUUGUUUGAAAAUACUUGUCAGGUAAGUUUUCUCCGCAUCCCCUAUUCUCCUCCAUUUUGCAUUGUUCUUCAUUCUUCUCUUUUAUAUUUGAGUGUUAUUUGUUCACUGCCUGUAUGUUGUACAGAAUGAAUUUUCAAUCCUUUGAUUUCAUUGCUUUUUUUUAGAGCUCUAUGUUGUGUUUUCUAUUAUUCAUUUCUUUAGUUUUGUAUCAAAAUAAUUUUAUUUACUCUCAAGGACAUUGUGGUUUUAACAUUUGAUCUCUUCUCAUUUCUCUAUCUUGCUUUAAGCGUAAGGGUAGAAUUUUCAGGUUUCCCGUGGUCAUGAGAAGUUUAUUUCGAGUUAGUUCUUCAGUAAGUUUCCUCUAUAUUCCCUAUUCUCUCAAAAAUUUUGCACUGUUUCUCCUAUUUAUCUUUUCGUGUUAUAUGUCUACUGUAUGUGUGUACUAGAAAAUUAAUUCUGAAUCCGUUAAUUUCUUUGUCUAUUUUUUUUCUUGAUGUUGCGUUUUCUAUUCCUCAUUUCUUUAGUUUCGUAUAUGCAUAAUUUGAUUUCCUUUCAAGGAUAUUGCGCAAUAGUUAAUUUUCUUAUUCUCGUUUUUACAUUUGAUCUCUACUCCUUUCGCUACAUUCUCUAAGCGUAAGGGUAGAAUUUAAAGGUUUCCCAAGGAAAAGAGAAGUGUUUUUGGAAAUACUUGUCAGGUAAGUUUUCUCCGUAUCCCUUAUUCCCCACCACUUCGCAUUGUUCUUCAUUCUUCUCUUUUAUGUUUGAGUGUUAUUUGUUCACUGCGUGUAUCUAGUAGAGAAUUAAUUUUCAAUCCUUUGAUUUCAAUUUUUUUUUUUUUAUACCUCUAUGUUGUGUUUUCUAUUACUCAUUUCUUUAGUUUCGUAUCAAAAUAAUUUUAGUUACUUUCAAGUACAUUGUGGUUUUAAAAUUUGAUCUCUACUCCUUUCUCUACCUUGCUUUAAGCGUAAGGGUAGAAUUUUCAGGUUUCCCCUGGUCAAGAGAAGUUUAUAAGGAAUUAGUUCUUCGAUAAGUUUCCUCCAUAUUCACUAUUCUCUCAAAUUUUGCUUUGUUCUUCUUAUUUCUCUUUUAUGUUUUCGUGUUAUAUGUCUACUGUAUGUGCGUACUAUAUAAUUAAUUUUAUAUCCGUUAAUUUCAUUGUUUGUUUUUUAUCUUGAUGUUGUGUUGUCUAUUCCUCAUUUCUUUAAUUUGGUAUCCAUAUAAUUUUAUUUCCUUUCUACAAUAUUGUGCCAUAAGAGUUAAUUUUCUUAAUCUCGAUUUUACAUUUGAUCUCUACUCCUUUCGCUACCUUCUAUAAGCGUAAGGGUAGAAUUUUCAGGUUGCUCGAGGAAAAGAGAAGUUUAUGGGAAAAUACUUGUCAGGUAAGUUUCCUCCGUAUCCCCUAUUCUCCUCCAUUUGGAAUUGUUGUUCAUUAUUCUCUUUUAUGUUUGAGUGUUAUUUGUUGACCACAUGUAUGUAGUAGAUAAUUAAUUUUCAAUCCUUUGAUUACUUUGGCUUUUUUUAAAAGCUUGAUCUUGUGUUUUCUAUUCCUCAUUUCUUUAGUUUCUUAUCAAAAUAAUUUUAUUUACUUUCAAGGACAUUGUGGUUUUAACAUUUGAUCUCUACCCCUUUCUCUACUUUGCUCUAAGCACAAUGGUAGAAUUUUCAAGUUUUCGGUGGUGAAGAGAAGUUUAUUGGGAAUUAGUUCUCGGAUAAGUUUUCCCCAAAUUCCCUACUCUCUCAAAUAUUGUAUUGUUCUUCAUUUUUAUCUUGUAUGUUUUCAUGUUAUAUUUCUACUAUAUGUAUGUACUAGAUAAUUAAUUUUAUAUCCGUUAAUUUCUUUGUUUGUUUUUUAUCUUGAUGUUGCAUUCUGUAUUCCCCAUUUCUUUAGUUUCGUAUCCAUAUAAUUUUAUUUCCUUUCUACAAUAUUGUGCCAUAAGAGUUAAUUUUCUUAAUCUCGUUUUUAUAUUUAAUCUCUACUCCUUUCGCUACCUUCUAUAAGCGUACGGGUAGAACUUUCAGGUUUCCCUUUGAAAAUAGAAGUUUAUUUGAAAAUACUUGUCAUGUAAGUUUCCUCUGUAUCCCAUAUUCUCCUCCAUUUGGCAUUGUUGUUCAUUCUUCUCUUUUAUGUUAAAGUGCUAUUUGUUGACCGCAUGUAUGUAGUAGAGAAUUAAUUUUCACUCUUUUGAUUUUUUUUUUUUUUUAAGAGCUUGAUCUUGUGUUUUCUAUUCCUCAUUUCUUUAGUUUCGUAUCAGAAUAAUUUGAUUUACUUUAAAGGACAUUAUGGUUUUCACAUUUGAUCUGUACACCUUUCUCUACCUUUCCCAAUAAACUUCCCUUGACCUCAGGAAACCUGAAAAUUCUACCCUUAUGCUUAAAUCAAGGUAGAGAAAGGAGAAGAGAUCAAAUGUUAAAACCACAAUGUCCUAAAGAGUAAAUAAAAUUAUUCGGAUAUGAAACUAAAGAUAUGAGCAAUAGAAAACACAACAUCAAGCUUUUAAAAACAAACAAAUAUAUCAAAGGAUUGAAAAUAAACUCUCUACUACAUACAUGCGGUAAAAAAAUAACACUCAAACAUAAAAAGAGAAGAAUAGAGAACAAUGCGAAAUGGUAAAGAAUAAGGGAUACGGAGGAAACUUACCUGACAAGUAUUUCCAAAUGAGCUUCUCUUUUCCUCGAGACACUUGAAAAUUUUACUCUUAUGCUUAUAGAAAGUAGCGAAAGGAGUAGAGAUCAAAUGUAAAAACGAGAAUAAGAAAAUUAACUCUCAAGACACAAUAUCGUUGACAUGAAAUUAAAUUAUGCUGUUACGAAACUAAAAAAAUGAGAAUAGACAACGCAACAUCAGAAUAAAAAACAAACAAAGGAAUUAACAAAUUCAAAAAUAAUUUUCUAGUACACACAUACAGUAGACGCAUAAGAUGAAAACAUAAAAGAUAAAAAUGAAAAACAGUGCAAAAUUUGAGAGAAUAGGGAAUAGGGAGGAAACUUAUCAAAGAACCAAUUCCCAAUAAACUUCUAUUCACCACGGGAAACCUUAAAAUUCUACCCUUACGCUUAAAGCAAUGUAGAGAAAGGAGUAGAUAUCAAAUGUUAAAACCACAAUGUCCUUGGGAGUAAAUCAAAUUAUUUUGAUACAAAACUAAAAAAAUGAGGAAUAGAAAACACAACAUCAAGCUUUUAAAAAAAAAAACAAAGAAAUCAAAGGAUUGAAAAUUAAUUCUCUACUACACACAAGCGGUCAACAAAUAACACUCAAACAUAAAAGAGAAUAAUGAAGAACAAUGCAAAAUGGAGGAGAAUAGGGAAUACGGAGGAAACUUACCUGACAAGUAUUUCCCUAUAAACUUCUCUUUACCUCGAGAAACUUGAAAAUUCUACCCUUAUAUUUAUAGAAGGUAGCGAAAAGUGUAGACAUCAAAUGUAAAAAUGAUAAUAAGAAAAUUAACUCUUAAGGCUCAAUAUGGUUGAAAGGAAAUCAAAUUCUACUGAUACAAAACUAAAGAAAUGAGGAAUAGACAAUGCAACAUCAAGAUAAAAAACAAACAAAGAAAUUAAUGGAUUCAAUGUUAAUUUUCUAGAACACACAUAUAGUAGACAUAUAACACAAAAACAUAAAAGAUAAAUAAGAAGAACAACCAAGAUUUGAGAGAAUAGGGAAUAUGGAGAAAACUUACCGAAUAACUAAUUCCCAAUAAACUUCUCUUGACUAGGGGAAACCUGAAAAUUCUACCCUUACGCCUAAAACAAGGUAGAGAAAGGAGUAGAGAUCAAAUUUUAAAACCACAAUGUACUUGAAAGUAAAUAAAAAUUUUUUGAUAAGAAACUAAAGAAAUAAGAAAUAGAAAACACAACAUAGAGCUAUAAAAAAAAAACAAUGAAAUCAAAGGAUGGAAAAUUCAUUAUCUACUAAAUACACGCAGUGAACAAAUAACACUCAAACAUAAAAGAGAAAAAUACAUAACAAUGCAAAAUGGUGGAGAAUAGGAAAUACGAAGAAAACUUACUCGACAAGUAUUUCCAAAUACUCUUUUCCUUGGGAAACCUAAAAAAUUCUACCCUUACGCUUAUAGAAUGUAGCGAAAAGAGUAGAGAUCAAAAGUAAAAAUGAGAAUAAGAAAAUUAAUUCUUAAGGUGCAAUAUAGUUGAAAGGAAAUCAAAUUAUGCAAAUACAAAACUAAAGAAAAGAGGAAUAGACAACGCAAGAUCAAAAUUAAAAACAACCAAAGAAAUUAACGGAUUCAAAUUAAUUUUCUAGUACACACAUAUAGUAGACAUAUAACAUGAAAACAUACAAAAUAAAUAUGAAAAACAGUGCAAAAUUUGAGAGAAUAAGGAAUACGGAGGAACCUUAUUCAAGAACUAAUUCCCAAUAAACUUUCCUUCACCACGGGAAACCUGAAAAUUCUACCCUUACGCUUAAAGCAAGGUACAGAAAGGAUUAGAGAUCAAAUGUUAAAAUCACAAUGUCCUUGAAAGUAAAUAAAAUUAUUUUGAUAAGAAACUAAAGAAAUGAGUAAUAGAAAACACAAUAUAGAGCUCUAAAAAAACACAAUGAAAUCAAAGGAUUGAAAAUUAAUUCUCUACUACAUACACGUAGUCAACAAAUAACACUCAAACAAAACAGAGAAGAAUGAAGAACAAUGCGAAAUGGGGGAGAAUAGGGGAUACGAAGAAAACUUACUCGACAAGUAUUUCCAAACAAACUACUCUUUUCCUCGGGAUACCUUAAAAUUCUACUUUCACGCUUACCUGACAAGUAUGGGUGUACUAGAAAAUUAAUUUUGAAUCCGUUAAUUUCUUUGUUUAUUUUUUAUCUUGAUCUUGCGUUGUCUAUUCCUCAUUUCAUUAGUUUUGUAUCUACAUAAUUUGAUUUUCUUUCAACGAUAUUGUGCCUUAAGAGUUAAUUUUCUUAUUCUCGUUUUUACAUUUGAUCUCUACUCCUUCCGCUACAUUCUAUAAGCGUAAAGGUAGAAUUUUCAGGUUUCCCGAGGAAAAGAGAAGUUUGUUUGGAAAUACUUGUCAGGUAAGUUUUCUUCGUAUCCCCUAUUCUCCUCCAUUUCGCAUUGUUCUUCAUUCUUCUCUUUUUUGUUUGAGUGUUAUUUGUUGACUUCGUGUAUGUAGUAGACAACGAAUUUUCAAUCCUUUGAUUUCAUUGUUUUUUUUUAUAACUCUAUGUUAUGUUUUCUAUUACUCAUUUAUUUAGUUUCUUAUCAAAAUAAUUUUAUUUACUUUCAAGGACAUUGUGGUUUUAACAUUUGAUCUCUAAUCCUUUCUGUACCUUGCUUUAAGCGUAAAGGUAGAAUUUUCAGGUUUCCCGUGGUGAAGGAAAAGUUUAUUGGGAAUUAGUUCUUGGAUAAGGUUCCUCCGUAUUCCCUAUUCUCUCAAAUUUUGCACUGUUCUUCAUAUUUAUCUUGUAUGUUUUCAUGUUAUAUGUCUAUUGUAUGUAUGUACUAUAAAAUUAAUUUUGAAUCUGAUAAUGUCUUUGUUUAUUUUUUAUUUUUAUGGUGCGUUGUCUAUUCCUCAUUUCUUUAGUUUCGUAUCAACAUAAUUUGAUUUCCUUUCAACGAUAUUGUGCAUUAAGAGUUAAUUUUCUUAUUCUCGUUUUUACAUUUGAUCUCUACUCGUUUCGCUACAUUCUAUAAGCAUAAGGGUAGAAUUUUCAGGUUUCCCGAGGAAAGGAGAAGUUUUCAAUCCUUUGAUUUUAUUAUUUUCUUUUAGAGCUAUAUGUUGUGUUUUUCUAUUACUCAUUUCUUUAGUUUCUUAUCAAAAUAAUUUUAUUUACCUUCAAGGACAUUGUGGUUUUAACAUUUGAUCUCUACUCCUUUCGCUACAUUCUAUAAGCGUAAGGGUAGAAUUUUCAAGUUUCCCGAGGAAAAGAGAAGUUUGUUUGGAAAUACUUGUCAGGUAAGUUUUCUCCGUAUCCCCUAUUCUCCUUCAUUUCGCAUUGUUCUUCAUUCUUCUCUUUUAUGUUUGAGUGUUAUUUGUUGAAUUCGUGUAUGUAGUAGAGAAUGGAUUUUCAAUCUUUUGAUUUCAUUGUUUUUUUUUAGAGCUCUAUGUUGUGUUUUCUAUUAUUCAUUUCUUUAGUUUCAUAUCAAAUUAAUUUUAUUUACUCUCAAGGAUAUUGAUGUUUUAACAUUUAUUCUCUACACAUUUCUCAACUUGCUUUAAGCGUAAGGGUAGAAUUUUCAGGUUUCCCGUAGUGAAGAGAAGUUUAUUGGGAAUUAGUUAUUGGAUAAGUUUCCUCCGUAUUCCCUAUUCUCUCAAAUUUUGCGUUGUUCUUCAUUUUUAUCUUGUCAGUUUCCUCCGUAUCCUCUAUUCUCCUCCAUCUGGCAUUGUUAUUCAUUCUUCUCUUUUAUGUUUGAGUGUUAUUUGUUGACCGCGUGUAUGUAGUAGAGAAAUAAUUUUCAAUUCUUUGAUUUCGUUUUUUUUUUUUUUAAAAGCUUGAUGUUGUGUUCUCUAUUGCUCAUUUCUUUAGUUUCGUAUCCGAAUAAUUUUAUUUACUUUCAAGGACACUGUGGUUUUAACAUUUGAUCUUUUCUCCUUUCUCUACCUUGCUUUAAGCAUAAGGGUAGAAUUUUCAGGUUUCGCGUGGUCAAGAGAAGUUUAUUGGGAAUUAAUUCUUCGAUAAGUUUCCUCCCUAUUCCUUAUUCUCUCAAAUUUUGCAUUGUUUUUCAUAUUUAUCUUUUAUGUUUUCGUGUUAUAUGUCUACUGUAUGUGUGUACUAGAAAAUUAAUUUAUGAAUCCGUUAAUUUCUUUGUUUGUUUUUUAUCUUGAUCUUGCGUUGUGUAUUCCUCAUUUCAUUAGUUUCGUAUCUACAUAAUUUAAUUUCCUUUAACCGAUAUUGUGCCUUAAGAGUUAAUUUUCUUAUUCUCGUUUUUACAUUUGUAAUCUACUCAUUUCGCUACCUUCUAUAAGCGUAAGGGUAGAAUUUUUAGGUUUCCCCAGGAAAAGAAAUGUUUGUUUGGAAAUACUUGUCAGGUAAGUUUUCUCUGUAUCCACUAUUCUCCUCCAUUUUGUAAUGUUCUUCAUUCUUCUCUUUUAUGUUUGAUUGUUAUUUGUUGAUUGCGUGUAUAUAGUAGAUAAUGAAUUUUCAAUCCUUUGAUUUCAUUGUUUUUUUUUUUAGAGCUCUAUGUUGUGGUUUUUAUUACUCAUUUCUUUAGUUUCUUAUCAAAAUAAUUUUAUUUACUUUCAAGGACAAUGUGGUUUUAACAUUUGAUUUCUACUCUUUUCUCUACCUUGUUUUAAGCGUAAGAGUAAAAUUUUUAGGUUUUCCGUGGUGAAGAUAAGUUUAUUGGGAAUUAGUUCUUGGAUAAGUUUCCUCCGUAUUCCCUAUUCUCUCAAAUUUUGCACGGUUCUUCAUAUUUAUCUUGUAUGUUUUCGUAUUAUAUGUCUACUGUAUGUGUGUGCUAGAAAAUUAAUUUUGAUUCUGUUAACUUCUUUGUUUGUUUUUUAUCUUAAUUUUGCGUUGCUUAUUCCUCAUUUCUUUAGUUUCAUAUCUGCAUAGUUUGAUUUUCUUUCAACCAAAGCCUUAAGAGUUAAUUUUCUUAUUCUUGUUUUUACAUUUGAUCUCUACCCCUUUUGCUUCCUUCUAUAAGCGUAAAGGUAGAAUUUUUAGGUUUCCCAAAGAAAAGAGAAGUUUAUUGGAAAAUACUUGUCAGAUAAGUUUCCUCGAUAUACACUAUUCUCCUUCAUUACGCAUUGUAAUUCAUUCUGCUCUUUUAUGUUUGAGUGUUAUUUGUUGACUACAUGUAUGUAGUAGAGAAUGAAUUUUCAAUCUUUUGAUUUCAUUGUUUUUUUUUAGCUUUAUGUUGAGUUUUCUAUUACUCAUUUCUUAAGUUUCUUAUCAAAAUAAUUUUAUUUACUCUUAAGAAAAUUGUGGUUUUAACAUUUGAUCUCUACUCCUUUCUCGACCUUCCUUUAAGCGUAACGGUAGAAUUUUCAGGUUUCCCGUGGUGAGGAGAAGCUUUUUGGGAAUUAGUUCUUGUAUAAGUUUCCUCUGUAUUCCCCUAUUCUCUCAAAUUUUGCAUUGUUCUUCAUAGUUAUCUUGUAUGUUUUCGUGUUAUAUGUCCACUGUAUAUGUGUACUAGAAAAUUAAUUUUGAAUCCGUUAAUUUCUUUGUUUGUUUUUUAUCUUGAUCUUGCGUUGUCUAUUCCUCAUUUCUUUAGUUUCGUAUCAGCAUAAUUUAAUUUCCUUUCAACGAUAUUGUGUCUUGAGAGUUAAUUUUCUUAUUCUCGUUUUUACAUUUGAUCUCUACGCCUUUCGUUACUUUCUAUAAGCGUAAGGGUAGAAUUUUCAAGUGUCCCGAGGAAAUGAGAAGUUUAUUUGGAAAUACUUGUCAGGUAAGUUUCCUCUGUAUCCCUUAUUCUCUUCCAUUUCGCAUUGUUCUUUAUUAUUCUCUUUUAUGUUUGAGUGUUAUUUUUUAAUCGCAUGUAUGUAGUAGAGAAUAAAUUUUCAAUCCUUUGAUUUCUUUGUUUUCUUUUUAAAAGCUUGUUGUUGUGUUUUCUUCCUCAUUUCUUUAGUUUCGUAUCAGAAUAAUUUGAUUUACUUUCAAGGACAUUGUGCUUUUCACAUUUGAUCUAUACACCUUUCUUUAAGCAUAAGGGUAGAAUUUUCAGGUUUCCCGAGGUCAAGAGAAGUUUAUUGAGAAUUAGUUCUUCGAUAAGUUUCCUCCAUAUUCCCUAUUCUCUCAAAUUAUGCAUUGUUCUUCAUAUUUAUCUUUUAUGUUUUCGUGUUAUAUGUCUAUUGUAUGUAUGUACUAGAAAAUUAAUUUUGAAUCCGUUAAUUUCUUUAUUUGUUUUUUAUCUCGAUGUUGCGUUGUCUAUUCCUCAUUUUUUUAGUUUCGUAUCAGCAUAAUUUAAUUUCAUUUCAACGAUAUUGUGUCUUGAGAGUUAAUUUUCUUAUUCUCGUUUUUACAUUUAAUCUCUACUCCUUUCGCUACUUUCUAUAAGUGUAAGGGUAGAAUUUUCAAGUGUCCCGAGGAAAAGAGAAGUUUAUUUGGAAAUACUUGUCAGGUAAGUUUCCUCCGUAUUCCCUAUUCUCUUCCAUUUCGCAUUGUUCUUUAUUAUUCUCUUUUAUGUUUGAGUGUUAUUUGUUGACCACAUAUAUGUAGUAGAGAAUUAAUAUUCAAUCCUUUGAUUUCUUUGUUUUUUUUUUUAAAAGCUUGAUGUUGUGUUUUCUAUUCCUCAUUUCUUUAGUUUCGUAUCAGAAUAAUUUUGAUUUACUUUCAAGGACAUUGUGGUUUUCACAUUUGAUUUGCACUCCUUUCUCUACCUUUCUUUANNNNNNNNNNNNNNNNNNNNNNNNNNNNNNNNNNNNNNNNNNNNNNNNNNNNNNNNNNNNNNNNNNNNNNNNNNNNNNNNNNNNNNNNNNNNNNNNNNNNUGCAAAAUUUAAGAGAAUAGGGAAUACGGAGGAAACUUAUCCAAGAACUAAUUCCCCGUAAACUUCUCUUUACCACGGGAAACCUGAAAAUUCUACCCUUAUGCUUAAAGAAAGGUAAAGAAGGUGUACAGAUCAAAUGUGAAAACCACAAUGUCCUUGAAAGUAAAUCAAAUUAUUCUGAUACGAAACUAAAGAAAUGAGGAAUAGAAAACACAACAUCAAGCUCAUAAAAAAAACAAAGAAAUCAAAGGAUUGAAAAUUAAUUCUCUACAUACAUGCGGUUAACAAAUAACACUCAAACAUAAAAGAGAAGAAUCAAGAACAAUGCGAAAUGGAAGAGAAUAGGGGAUACGGAGGAAACUUACCUGAAGAGUAUUUCCAAAUAAACUUCUCUUUUCCUCGGGACACUUGAAAAUUCUACCCUUACGCUUAUAAAAAGUAGUGAUAAGAGUAGAGAUCAAAUGUAAAAACGAGAAUAAGAAAAUUAACUCUCAAGACACAACAUCAUUGAAAUCAAAUUAAAUUAUAUUGAUACGAAACUAAAAAAAUGAGGAAUAGACAACACAACAUCGAGAUAAAAAACAAACAAAGAAAUUAACGGAUAUAAAAUUAAUUUUCCAAUACACACAUACAGUAGACAUAUAACACGAAAACAUAAAAGAUAAAUAUGAAUAACAAUGCAAAAUUUAAGAGAAUAUGAAAUAUGGAGGAAACUUAUCGAAGAACUAAUUCCCAAUAAACUUCUCUUGACCUCAGAAAACCUAAAAAUUCUACCCUUAUACUUAAAGCAAGGUAGAGAAAGGAGAAGAGAUCAAAUGUUAAAACCACAAUGUCCUUGAGAGUAAAUAAAAUUAUUCGGAUACGAAACUAAAGAAAUGAGUAAUAGAAAACACAACAUCAAGCUUUUAAAAAAAAACAAAGAAAUCAAAGGAUUGAAAAUUAAUUCUCUACUACAUACAUGCAGUCAACAAAUAAUACUCAAACAUAAAAGAGAAUAAUAAAGAACAAUGCAAAAUCGAAGAGAAUAGGGGAUACAGAGGAAACUUACCUGACAAGUAUUUCCAAAUAAACUUCUCUUUUCCUCGGGACACUUGAAAAUUCUACCUUUACGCUUAUAGAAAGUAUCAAAAGGAGUAGAGAUCAAAUGUUAAAACAAGAAUAAGAAAUUAACUCUCAAGGCACAAUAUCUUGAAAGGAAAUUAAAUUAUGCUGAUACGAAACUAAAGAAAUGAGGAAUAGACAACGCAACAUAAAGAUAAAAGACAAAAAAAGAAAUUAACGGUUUCAAAAUUAAUUUUCUAGUACACACAUACAGUUGACAUAUAACACGAAAACAUACAAGAUAAUUAUCAAGAACAAUGCAAAAUUUGAGAGAAUAGGGAAUACGGGGGAAACUUAUACAAGAACUAAUUCCCAAAAAGCUUCUCUUCACCACGGGAAACCUGAAAAUUCUACUGUUACGCUUAAAGGAAGGCCGAGAAAGGAGUAGAGAUCAAAUGUUAAAACCACAAUUUUCUUAAGAGUAAAUAAAAUUAUUUUGAUAAGAAACUUAAGAAAUGAGUAAUAGAAAACUCAACAUAGAGCUCUAAAAAAAAACAAUGAAAUCAAAGGAUUGAUAAUUCAUUCUCUACUACAUACAUGCAAUCAACAAAUAAUACUCAAAACACAAAAGAGAAGAAUGAAGAACAAUACGUAAUGAAGGAGAAUAGGGGAUACGGAGGAAACUUACCUGACAAGUAUUUCACAAUAAACUUCUCUUUUCUUUGGGAAACCUAAAAAUUCUACCCUUACGCUUAUAUAAGGUAGCGAAAGGAGUAGAGAUCAAAUGUAAAAACGAGAAUAAGAAAAUUAACUCUUAAGGCUCGUUGAAAGAAAAUCAAAUUAUGCAGAUACGAAACUAAAGAAAUGAGGAAUAGACAACGCAAGAUAAAGAUAAAAAACAAACGAAGAAAUUAACAGAAUCAAAAUUAAUUUUCUAGCACACACAUACAGUAGACAUAUACACGAAAACAUACAAGAUAAAUAUGAAGAACAUUACAAAAUUUGAGAGAAUAGGGAAUACGGAGGAAACUUAUCCAAGAACUAAUUCCCAAUAAACUUAUCUUCACCACGGAAAAGCUAAAAAUUUUACUCUUACGCUUAAAAUAAGGUAGAGAAAAGAGUAGAAAUCAAAUGUUAAAACCACCUUGUCCUUGAAAGUAAAUAAAAUUAUUUUGAUAAGAAACUAAAGAAAUGAGUAAUAAAAACCACAACAUAGAGCUCUAAAAAAAACAAUGGAAUCAAAGGAUUGAAAAUUCAUUCUCUACUACAUAUACACAGUUAACAAAUAACAAUCAAACAUAAAAGAGAAGAAUGAAGAACAAUGCAAAAUAGAGGAGAAUAGGGGAUACGGAAAAAACUUACCUGACAAGUAUUUCCAAACAAACUUCUCUUUUCCUCGGGAAACCUAAAAAUUCUAACCUUACGCUUAUAGAAGGUAGCGAAAGGAGUAGAUAACAAAUGUAAAAACGAGAAUAAGAAAAUUAACUCUUAUGGCACAAUACCGGUUAAAGGAAAUCAAAUUAUGCAGAUAUGAAACUAAAGAAAUGAGGAAUACACAACGCAAGAUCAAGAUAAAAAACAAACAAAGAAGUAAACGGAUUCAUAAAUUAAUUUUCUAGUACACACAUACAGUAGACAUAUAACACGAAAACAUAAAAGAUAAAUAUGAAAAACAGUACAAAAUUUGAGAGAAUAGGGAAUAGGGAGGAAACUUAUCGAAGAAUUAAUUUUCAAUAAACUUCUCUUGACCACGCGAAACCUGAAAAUUCUAUCCUUAUGCUUAAAGCAAAGUAGAGAAAGGAAAAGAUAUCAAAUGUUAAAACCACAGUGUCAUUGAAAGUAAAUAAAAUUAUUCGGAUACGAAACUAAAUAAAUGACCAAUAGAGAACACAACAUCAAGCUUUUAAAAACAAACAAAGAAAUUAAAGGAUUGAAAAUUAAUUCUCUACUACAUACAUGCAAUCAACAAAUAACACUCAAACAUAAAAGAAAAGAAUGAAGAACAAUGCAAAAUGGAGGAGAAUUGGGGAUACGGAGGAAACUUACCUGAUAAGUAUUUCCAAAUAAACUUCUCUUUUCCUUCACAAACCUGAAAAUUCUACCCUUACGCUUAAAGCAAGGUAGAGAAAAGAGUAGAGAAUAAAUGUUAAAACAUCAAUGUCCUUGAGAGUAAAUAAAAUUAAUUUGAUACGAAACUAAAGAAAUGAAUUAGAAAAUACAACAUAGAGCUCUAAAAAAAACAAUGAAAUCAAAGGAUUGAAAAUUCAUUCUCUACUACAUACAUGCAGUCAACAAAUAACACUCAAAACAUAAAAGAAAAGAAUGAAGAACAAUGCAAAAUGGAGGAGAAUUGGGGAUACGGAGGAAACUUACCUGAUAAGUAUUUCCAAAUAAAAUUCUCUUUUCCUUCGCAAACCUAAAAAUUCUACCCUUACGCUUAUAGAAUGUAGCGAAAGUAGUAAAGAUUAAAUGUAAAAACGAGCAUAAGAAAAUUAACUCUUAAGGCACAAUAUCGUUGAAAUGAAAUCAAAUUAUGUUGAUACGAAACUAAAGAAAUGGGGAAUAGCUAACGCAACAUCAAGAUAAAAACAAACAAACAAAUUAACGAAUUCAAAAUUAGUUUUCUAGUACACACAUACAGUAGACAUAUAACAGGAAUUUCGUGCACCACGCGUGCCACCGUUCGUGCACCAUGGCGUACCACCUUCUGUGCACCGCGGCGUGCCACCAUCCGUGCACCGCAGCGUGCCACCAUCCGUGCACCACAGCGUGCCACCGUUCGUGCACCGCACACGCAAGGACUCAUGCCACCACGCGUCCAAGGACGCGUGCCAUCGCGCAUGCUAAGACACCUUCCACCGUGCAUGCGGUGUUCAUGCAUCGCACGUGCCACAGUCUAUGCACUACACACGCAAGGACUCAUGCCACCCCGCAUGCAAAGACCAGUGCCACCAUACGUGGAAAGACACGUGCCACCGUCCGUGCACCGCACAUGCAAGGCGCAAGGACGAGUGCCAUCGCGCGUGUAAGGACGAGUGCCACCACGCGUGUAAGGACGAGUGCCGCACAUGCCACCAUUCGUGCACGCGUGCCACCGUCCAUGCACCGCAUACACAAGGCACAAGGACGCAUGCCACCGUGCAUGCAAAGACGAGUGCCAGCACGCGUGCAAGAACGUGUGCCAUCGCGUGCAUGCAAAGACGCGUGCACAGUUUCGUGCACCACGCGUGCCACCAUCCAUGCACCUGUGCAUGCCACCAUUCGUGCAUCACGCAGGCCAUCGUUCGUGCAUCGCGCAGGCCACACCGUCCAUGCGGUACAAGGCGCAAGGACACAUGUCACUGCGCAUGCAAGGACAAGUGCCACCACGCUUGGAAGGACAAGUGCCACCGCACAUGUCACCGUUCGUGCACCACGCAUGUCACUGUCCAUGCACCGUACACACAAGACGCAAGGACGCAUGCCAUUGUGCAUGCAAAAACGAGUGCCACCACAAGGGCACAUGCCACUGCGAGUGCAAGGACAAUUGCCAUCGUGGGUGCAAGGACAAUUGCCACCGUGGGUGCAAGGACGCGUGCCACCGUGCAUGCAAGGACGAGUGUCACCGCACAUGCAAGGACGUGUCACCGCACAUGCAAGGAUGAGUGCCACCGCGCAUGCAAGGACGAGUGCCACUGCGCAAGCAAGGACGAGUGACAGCGUGCAUUUAGACGAGUGCCACCAUGCAUGCCACCAUUUGUGCACCGCGCAUGCCAUCAUCCAGAUGGCACACGCAAGGCGCAAGGGCGCAAGGACGCAUGUCAUCGCGCAUGCAAAAACACCACACGUGCUACGCGUGUCACCGUCUAUGCACCGCCCGAGCUACCAUUUGUGUACCGUCCGUGCACCGUGCGUGCCAUAGUCUAUGCACCACGCAUGCCAUCAUCUGCCACUGUCCGAGGAACCGCGUGUGCCACCAUCCGUGCAUCGCACAUGCAAGGCACAAGGACGCAUGCCACUACGAGUUCAAGGAUGCGUGCCACCGCGCAUGCCACUGGACAUGCACCGUUCGUGCCAUGCCACCGCUACACACGCAAGGCGCAAGGACACAUGCCACGACAAAUGCAAAGACUAGUGUCACCACACGUGCAAGAACGCGUACAAGGACGCUUGCACACGUCCGUGCACCACGCGUGCCACCGUCCCUGCGGUGCAAGGCGCAAGAACGCAUGCCACGAACGGUGUCACCACGCGUGCAAGGAUGAGUGCCACCGCGCGUGCCAUCGUCCAUGCACGGCGCGUGCCACCAUCCGUGCACCGCGCGUGCCACCGUCCGUGCACCGCAAAUGCAAGGCACAAGGACGCAUGCCACUGCGAGUGCAAAGACGCAUGCCACUACGCGUGCAAGGACGAGUGCUACCACACGUGCAAGAACGUGUGCCACUGCGCGUGCAAGGACGCGUGCCACCACGCGUGCAAGAACGCGUGCCACCACGCGUGCAAGAACGCAUGCCACCACGCGUGCAAGAACGCGUGCCACCGUUCGUGCACCGCAAAUGCAAGGCGCAAGGACGCAUGCCACUACGAGUGCAAGGACGUGUGCCACUGCGCGUGCAAGGAUGCAUGCCACCACGCAUGCAAGGACGAGUGUCACCAUGCGUGCAAGAACGCGUGCCACCGUCCGUGCACCGCGCGUACCACCGUCUGUGCACUGCAAAUGCAAGGCGCAAGGACGCAUGCCACUACAAGUGCAAGGACGCAUGCCACUACGAGUGCAAGGACGCAUGCCACUACGAGUGCAAGGACACAUGCAACUGCGCGUGCAAGGACGAGUGCCACUACAAGUGCAAUGUUGUGUUUUCUAUUACUCAUUUCUUUACUUUCUUAUCAAAAUAAUUUUAUUUUCUUUGAAGUACAUUGUGGUUUUACAAUUUGAUUUCUACUCCUUUCUCUACCUUGCUUUAAGAGUAAGGGUAGAAUUUUCAGGUUUCCCGUUGUCAAGAGAAGUUUAUUGGGAAUUAAUUAUUCGAUAAGUUUCCUCUAUAUUCCCUAUUCCCUCAAAUUUUGCACGGUUCUUCAUAUUUAUCUUUUAUGUUUUCGUGUUAUAUGCCUACUGUAUGUGUGUAUUAGAAAAUUAAUUUUCAAUCCGUUAAUUUGUUUGCUUGUUUUUUUAUCUUGAUGUUGCGUUGUCUAUUCCUCAUUUCCUUAGUUUCGUAUAUGCAUAAUUUGAUUUCCUUUCAACGAUAUUGUGCCUUAAGUUUUAUAUUUCUUAGUCUCGUUUUUACAUUUGAUUUCUACUCCUUUCGCUACCUUCUCUAAGCGUAAGGCCAGAAUUUUCAGGUUCCCCGAGGAAAAGAGAAGCUUAUUUGGAAAUACUUGUCAGGUAAGUUUCCUCUGUAUCCCUUACUCUCUUUCAUUUCGCAUUGUUUUUUAUUCUUCUUUUUUAUGUUUGAGUGUUAUUUGUUGACCACAUGUAUGUAGUAGAUAAUUAAUUUUCAAUCCUUUGAUUUCUUUGUUUGUUUUUAAAAGCUUGAUGUUGAGUUUUUUAUUGCUCAUAUCUUUAGUUUCAUAUCCGAAUAAUUUUAUUUACUCUCAAAGACAUUGUGGUUUUAACAUUUGAUCUCUUCUCCUUUCUCUACCUUGCUUUAAGCAUAAGGGUGGAAUUUUCAGGCUUCCCGUGGUCAAGAGAAGUUUAUUGGGAAUUAGUUAUUCGAUAAGUUUCCUCCAUAUUCCCUAUUCUCUCAAAUUUUGCAUUGUUCUUCAUAUUAAUCUUUUAUGUUUUCGUGUUAUAUGCCUACUGUAUGUGUGUAUUAGAAAAUUAAUUUUCAAUUCGUUAAUUUGUUUGCUUGUUUUUUUUAUCUUCAUUUUGCGUUGUCUAUUCCUCAUUUCCUUAGCUUCGUAUAUGCAUAAUUUGAUUUCCUUUCAACGAUAUUG